rnacentral:tRNA from 1 species
AGUUGUAUGGUAGAAUGGUUAGCACUCUGGACUUUGAAUCCAGCGAUCCGAGUUCAAGUCUCGGUAAAACCU